rnacentral:miRNA from 1 species
CAAAAUCCCAAAUACUUGGA